CUAUUGUGACAUCCCUGGAUCUUCCUUCUACUUCAUUAAUGAAAAACCAGAACUGGAACGACCAAGAGCCAUAAAUGAUAACAAAAAUCACCAGAUCCAAGCAAACACAUGAGCCUCAGAUACUUAACAAGUUACCACCACGCUCAACAACGAAGAUGGGCAUCUAAAAGACCCAAAUCAUUUUCUUGGGGUGGGACAUCUUACCUAUGUAGCUCUGCUUUUUAACUUCGAGACCAGCGAUCUCCAGCAUCAGAAAAGCCGAGGGUGGCAGAAGAAUUGAGAAGAACAAAGUUCUUGAAUGGAAGACGUAAAAUCAACUCUAAUGCCGACUAGAAGAAUCAAAGAAGAAAAGAAAGGUGGAGGAAGCUGUCACAGUCAAGUACCAAACUAGAGCCAGGAGAUCUGAGCAUCAAUGGUAGAAGUCAAAAGCAUCGGACGAAGGAUCCUAUUUCCAGUGAUGACUAUGGCAGAACUGUAAGAUGUGACACCAUAUGGACCACGAACCACAAGCAUACUGUACACGGUCCUUCCCAGAAAACAUUUGCUGGCCCUGAACUAGACCAUGAAGAAAUACCAAGAUGCAGUUUUUCUAAACUCAAAGUUGGAGGAAAGUACAUACACUGAGCUGAGGAACACCUGGAAGUAUCAUGUUUAAAGGCACCGGUCAGGGGAAGCUUGGCUGAGGAGAAACAGAGAUGUGUCUGAUACAUUGAGAGCAAGAAUGAGGAAGUUCCUGGAACAGUGAUCACAAAGACAACCAAGGUUUGUGGAGAACACAUGGUGGGCUGCUGUCAUGGAAUAGAAAUAAACAAGGAAGAAGGUUGUCUGGAAUAAUGCUG
rnacentral:lncRNA from 1 species